UGACGUUUCAGUGACGUCUAUAUGGGGUCACUAUCAGGACGUACCUUUUUAGUCACAAAUUUGACGUUUUACUGACGUCUAUUUGGGGUCACUAUCAGGACGUACCUUUUUAGUCACAAAUUUGACGUUUUACUGACGUCUAUUUGGGGACACUAUCAGGACGUACUUUCUUUGUCACAAAAUUGACGUUUCACUGACGUCUAUUUGGGGUCACUAUCAGGACGUACUUUCUUUGUCACAAAAUUGACGUUUCACUGACGUCUAUAUGGGGUCACUACAAGGACGUACCUUUUUAGUCACAAAUUUGACGUUUUACUGACGUCUAUUUGGGGUCACUAUCAGGACGUACCUUUUUAGUCACAGAUUUGACGUUUUACUGACGUCUAUUUGGGGACACUAUCAGGACGUCCUUUUUUUAUCACAAAAUUGACGUUUCACGUACGUCUAUUUGGGGUCACUACCAGGACGUACUUUCUUUGACACAAAAUUGACGUUCCACUGACGUCUAUUUGGGGUCACUAUCGGGACGUACCUUUUUAGUCACAAAAUUGACGUUUUACUGACGUCUAUUUGGGGUCGCUAUCAGGACGUACUUUUUUGUCACAAAAAUUACGCUUCACAGACGUCUAUUUGGGAUCACUAUCAGGACGUACCUUUUUAGUCACAAAUUUGACGUUUUACUGACGUCUAUUUGGGGUCACUAAUACGACGUACUUUCUUUGUUUUAAAAUUGACGUUUAUUUGGGGUCACUAUCAGGACAUACCAGCUUAGUCACAAAAUGGACGCUUCACUGACGUCUAUUUGGGGUCACUAUAAGGACGUACCUUUUUAGUCACAAAAUUGCCGUUCUACUGACGUCUGUAUGGGGUCACUAUCAGGACAUACCUUCUUAAGUCAUUAAAUUGACGUGUCACUGACGUCUAAUUGGGGUUGUAAUAUAAUGGUAAUUGGGGAAUCUUUUGUAAAAACAAGAGACUUGGCAACACUGCCGUGUUGAAACAGCGAUUGCAGCGCCGCUACGCCCCGCCGCAGCGGCGUCACAACAACGUUAUUAAUUUUCGAACAACGAGUCAAAGACGUGCAGGCCUACCGCGAAAAACGAAAUUCGCAAAUUGAGGGGAUCUUUCUCUUUUACUCUCACUAAGACGUCAUUAGAGUGACAGAGAAAAAUGCCCGCAAUUGACGAACGUCGAUUUUCGCGGCUAUUGCCCUGUUUCACUAAACGUGAUUCUUAAUAUUAGCGUAGUAACUUCUUAUAGAAAUUUACAUCUAUUUGGGGUCUCUGUUAGUAGGACGUACCAUUUUAGUCACAAAAUUGACGUUCUAUUGACGUCUAUUUGGGGUUACUAUCAAGACGUAUGUAACCGACAAAAUAACGCGUUUCGUUUCUUGAUACCAAUUUGUCAAUCUUGUAUUGUAAAAUAUUUAUAAAGUAAAAAAAGCAUUUCCGUUUGUUUCGGUAACUCUAAAGUUGUUAUACAGUAUUUUUUUAUAGAUUUUAUAAUUAAUAACACCAAAACAAGCUUAAAAUUGUUAUUUUUAGAAACAUCAGAAGUUGGAACGGAACGAAAUUCUGACAUUUUGAUUGAAGUGUCAUGUGUCAUGUAUCGUUUCCCUCCUUUUCCGUUUGCCCGGUCUGUUGUGUUGUAUCGCGUCCGUGGGUGCUGUGCAAUUCGAGACUCUUAAAGACGAUAUAGAUAAAGCCAAAAGAAAACUGAAACUGGUCGAGGAGACAUCAGACUUACAGACUGAAGCAGAAGAAGAACCAAAUUUUAAGCGGAAAAGAAAUAACAGAUAUAUUUCCACAAGCGAUGAAGAUGAUGGUCACAUAACGCCACCACCAAUUAAGAAAAAAAUCUUGAACAAAACAGCUGCUGCUGCUUACUAUAGAGGUAAGUUGAGGUUAUAGCCAACGGGCCAUUAUUAUUUAUGAAUUAAGUCCCGCCACAUUGAACAAUUAUGAUGCUGUAGAUACUUGUUGCAUGUGUCAGAAUAGUAAGAGUAGCAUUUUUUUCUAAGGUUUAUAUUGUCAAUAUUCAGUUUAGCAACUUCAUAGGUGUGCAAAGUGUCAGAAUUUACUUCAUAACCGCCAUUUUAUGUUGCUGCUUUCUCAUAAUCAAACAACUUUCAGCCAGUUUAUUUAAUGUAUUUUUGUCCCAUGGUUCUCAUGCAAAUAUAAUAUAUGAUAUAUCAGGUGCUUCCUAUAACAUUAGAAAAUAAUUAAACCAUAUUAUUGUAACUCCUCAAACUGAUCAACAUUUGUUCAGCAACUUUAAAAAAUUAUGAAAUCUUCAGAUUUUCUCUUUUUCAUACAAAUUAAAUAUUAUUUUCAAUGUAUCUGUUAUCACAGUUCUAAGUAUGGGGAACCCCCAAAAUUUAUUGUUUUUUUUUCUAUUUUUGUGUAAACAUCUUAAUGCGGUUCAUAGAAUACAUCUACUUAUCAAGUUUGAACAGUAUAGCUCUUAUAGUUUCGGAAAAAAGUGGCUGUGACAUAAUCGGACACACAGACGGACAUGACGAAUCUAUAAGGGUUCCGUUUUUUGCCAUUUGGCUACGGAACCCUAAAAAUGAAAUUUUUGACAAAAACUUAUUUUGGUCAAUAUAUAUAGCUAGCUGCUUACUGCUUACUCUGUUAUAUCCAUUAAGUGUUUCUUCUAGUCAAAUUUAUCUUUUUGUUAGAACACUGUUUUGGCAUGGAGAGACAGAUGGAAGGUUUUUCCUUUUCUGGUAUGGACCCUUUAAUAUCAAGAGUAAAUAGAUAUAUUUUGUGUAGUUUUUUUUAUAUAGAAGUAUAAUAUUACAAAGAACUCUCAAAAAUAAUAUGUUAUGGUUUGUACAGAUAACCGUCAGGCUCAGCCAAACAUUACCCGAGAUUCCCGGGAAGCCCCUUCAACACCAGAAAAAACCCUCUCAUUGCUGAAUGUAGUUGACGGGCUUCCUGUCUUGACAAACAGUGUCCUGCAAGGUAAGAUAUCAAUGUUUAACCAUCUGCGGUGGUUUGAUUUUCAUGUUCAUGUAUGUGUAAUAUGUGUGUGGUGUUCAUUCCUAUGUUCAUUUCUACAGAGUAAACAGCUAUAGCUGGUUUGAUAUUGCACGCCGUUGUAUGGGAACCUUGCACUUUGUGACUAUGCGCUGAAACUUGGCAUCGUUGAUUCUUAGCUGGUUCAAAAGUCUGCCCUGUCUGUCUACUUGGGGUACAUACGUAGUCCUUGGUCGCGAAAAGAACAACCACCGAAUCUCGGCAGCGACGUGCCAGCAACGCCAUCGUGCGGUCAAGGAUUAAAAGGUUUGCAAGAUACAGUGGUGUCACUACUGACCCACAUAAAGGCCCAGAAUGAUAUAAUCAUCUCGAUUUUGCGAGAAAAACAUACAAGAUUGGAUUUAAAACCAGAGUUCAAAUUUCCCAUCAAAACUUCGGAGGAGUUGGAAAUUGUGGAAAAAAAUUUAACGUCACAAGAAAACCAUGCUAACGUGGUAAGUUUUAAGUUUGUCAAUGCGAUAGUAUCAUCGAAACUACAAGCGUACCGGAUAGGUAUAAUAACCGGCAUAGCCUCGUAACGUCGUAAGUAGCCGGGUCCACACAGAGCGAGCAUACGCGCGAGGAUAUUGCCUCGUGCUUAUGGUCGCUGUGUGGACCCGGCUAGUCCCGUGUUUUUAGGAAGCAGGAGUCAUAACUGCCGAAUCUACUAUUUAUGAAGUACAAACUAGUACGUUUUUUAAUUUAAUAACCAAGUUUUAAUACCUAUGUGUUUCUUAGCGAGUGUCAGGAUGACAGGACCAUAUAUUUAUAACGAAUGUUACUCCAAGUUUUAGUACCUUUUUAGGGUUCCUUACCAUAAAAGUACUAAAGGAACCCUUAUGGUGCCAUUCUGUCCGUCCGUCCGUCCGUCUGUCACAUUGAUAAAUAUCUCGAGAACUACUUAAGCUAUCGAUUUGAAAUUUGGAAUAGUCAUGAAGAACGCUAACCCUAACACUUUGAAAGUAUUAUUCUUUAAAUUUAUUUUUAUUAAUUGUGGAAAAUGCCCAAUAAGAAGAAUAAUUAUGAAAGGUACAAAUUAGGUACUAAAUCUUUGUCAAAAGUUGGAUUCUAUCGAUAUAACCCCUACAACUAGGGGGAACUGGACUUGGUCCUAUCAACCUGACGUCAGAAUGGCUGACCACUUUAUUUUCAAUAUUUAGAGAUUUUAAGUUAAGUACAAAUUUUUCGAUGUCAGGUACCAAAUAGUACAAAAAAUUGACACUCAACGAAUUGUACACAGACAAAUUGGUUUUUAUACGAUUUCAGAGAAAUACCAACCCGUUAUUUUAUGAUCUGCAGUAUAGUUAAGUUUGUGAAUGUUUUUGUAAUAAGAAAUAUUUACAGGUAGCCUACUUCAAGAGCCUUGGUGGACAGGGCGUUAAUAAUAAAGUAUCUAGAGUUAUGAAAGUUGCAUUGUCCGACUCUAUGGCAAGCAAGUACAACUUUUACGGUAAAAGAUCAGACAAGAAGCCAUUUGCAGAACUACGUCUCCGGGCGUGUGCAAAACCAUUCGAUGUAGAAGGAACCCACCAUCAAUUACAAUGUCACUACCAGCAAGCUUGUUGUGGAUCAGACUCUGGUGAAAACAAAUUCGGAUUUUAGAAGAAAUUCAAAGUGGCGGCCGUGUUUACAAUCUUUGACUACGAAUUCAUAUAAGGGUAUCUUUCGGAUCCUCAGAUGUAAUUUGUUAUCGUGACUAGAUCAAAUUUUCCGUCGUAUGUACCGUUUUUGAACUACAAGAAAAAAACUUAAAAAUAGCAAAAAAAGUUCCACAACUUCUGGAAUGGAGCAAACUCGGAUUACACAAAUUUAGGAUCAAAUAAAGGUAUUAAGACGAUUUGACUGGCCUCUUAAAAUACUUAAAAAGUACCUUGUUAAUAUGUAGUUUAUAUGUUAUUAUUAAACUACUAGUUCCUUGAUGUA